GUGGGGAAUUUUGGACAAUGGGCGCAAGCCUGAUCCAGCCAUGCCGCGUGCAGGAUGAAGGCCUUCGGGUUGUAAACUGCUUUUGUACGGAACGAAAAGACUCUGGUUAAUACCUGGGGUCCAUGACGGUACCGUAAGAAUAAGCACCGGCUAACUACGUGCCAGCAGCCGCGGUAAUACGUAGGGUGCGAGCGUUAAUCGGAAUUACUGGGCGUAAAGCGUGCGCAGGCGGUUAUGUAAGACAGAUGUGAAAUCCCCGGGCUCAACCUGGGAAAUGCAUUUGUGACUGCAUAGCUAGAGUACGGCAGAGGGGGAUGGAAUUCCGCGUGUAGCAGUGAAAUGCGUAGAUAUGCGGAGGAACACCGAUGGCGAAGGCAAUCCCCUGGGCCUGUACUGACGCUCAUGCACGAAAGCGUGGGGAGCAAACAGGAUUAGAAACCCCUGUAGUCC
rnacentral:rRNA from 1 species